rnacentral:rRNA from 1 species
UGGUGGAGUGAUUUGUCUGCUUAAUUGCGAUAACGAACGAGACCUUAACCUGCUAAAUAGCCAGGCUAGCUUUGGCUGGUCGCCGGCUUCUUAGAGGGACUAUCGGCUCAAGCCGAUGGAAGUUUGAGGCAUACA